rnacentral:rRNA from 1 species
UACGUAGGCAGCAAGCGGUGUUCGGAGUUACUGGGCGUAAAGAGUAUGUAGGCGGUUGGGUAAGUUUGGUGUGAAAUCUCCCGGCUUAACUGGGAGGGUGCGCUAAAGACUGCCUGGCUCGAGUGUGGGAGAGGAAAGCGGAAUUCCUGGUGUAGCGGUGAAAUGCGUAGAUAUCAGGAGGAACACCUGCGGUGUAGACGGCUUUCUGGACCAUAACUGACGCUGAGAUACGAAAGCGUGGGUAGCAAACAGG